rnacentral:rRNA from 1 species
AUUGAACGCUGGCGGCAGGCCUAACACAUGCAAGUCGAACGGUAACAGAAAGCAGCUUGCUGCUUUGCUGACGAGUGGCGGACGGGUGAGUAAUGUCUGGGAAACUGCCUGAUGGAGGGGGAUAACUACUGGAAACGGUAGCUAAUACCGCAUAACGUCGCAAGACCAAAGAGGGGGACCUUCGGGCCUCUUGCCAUCGGAUGUGCCCAGAUGGGAUUAGCUAGUAGGUGGGGUAACGGCUCACCUAGGCGACGAUCCCUAGCUGGUCUGCGGGGAUGACCAGCCACACUGGAACUGAGACACGGUCCAGAAUCCUACGGGAGGCAGCAGUGGGGAAUAUUGCACAAUGGGCGCAAGCCUGAUGCAGCCAUGCCGCGUGUAUGAAGAGGGCCUUCGGGUUGUAAAGUACUUUCAGCGAGGAGGAAGGUGUUGUGGUUAAUAACCACAGCAAUUGACGUUACUCGCAGAAGAAGCACCGGCUAACUCCGUGCCAGCCGCCGCCGUAAAAC